rnacentral:rRNA from 1 species
AUUGAACGCUGGCGGCAGGCUUAACACAUGCAAAUCGAGCGAGUGGCGGACGGGUGAGUAAUGUCUGGGAAACUGCCUGAUGGAGGGGGAUAACUACUGGAAACGGUAGCUAAUACCGCAUACCAUCAGAUGUGCCCAGAUGGGAUUAGCUAGUAGGUGGGGUAAUGGCUCACCUCGGCGACGAUCCCUAGCUGGUCUGAGAGGAUGACCAGCCACACUGGAACUGAGACACGGUCCAGACUCCUACGGGAGGAAGCAGUGGGGAAUAUUGCACAAUGGGUGCAAGCCUGAUGCAGCCAUGCCGCGUGUGUGAAGAAGGCCUUCGGGUUGUAAAGCACUUUCAGCGAGGAGGCGUUACCCGCAGAAGAAGCACCGGCUAACUCCGUGCCAGCCGCCGCGGUAAUUC